rnacentral:lncRNA from 1 species
GAUGCUUAUUACUCAAGAAUAACAGCUGAAUGAAGAGAUUCCUGCAAAAUGUUGGAAGUUUUCAAUAAAAUAAAUAAUAAUCUUUUCAUCAAAAAAGAGAAUUGAUUAUUACCUCUUUAUAUUGACCACUUGUUUUUUAUAAGUUUUAACAUUUCAACCACACCAUGUGGCAUUUCCUUUCCCUGAUGUCCCAAUUCGUUAAAUAAAAAAGUAGACUUUUUAAAUAAAUAAAAGAAUUGACUAAAUAACAAAUAUCUUUUUGUAAAGAAUUACCAAGCAUACUAAAUAAGUGUUCAAGGCGUUUUCCAUGCAGCAUUCAGCAUCUUUGAAAAAAAGCACAUCAUUUCCUGAAAAAAAAAAAAUAAGCACAAGUUCUAAA